rnacentral:lncRNA from 1 species
UGUGCAUCAAGAUGGGAUCUAUCAACCUUGAUAGAGAGAAAUAAUCCUAUAAAAUUUGAGAAGUUAUGUCUGAGAGUCUAUGGCCACAGCAGCGUGAUUAUUGAAAAAGAGUUUUCAUAAGAAUCAUAAAUGGACUUGAGCUAAUCGAAUCUAUCAUAUGACUGAUGAUGAGAUUUGAUGAUUUAUUCAUGACCUGCCAUC